CCUACGGGAGGCUGCAGUGGGGAAUUUUGCGCAAUGCUCGUAAGAGUGACGCAGCGACGCCGCGUGAAUGACGAAGGCCUUCGGGUCGUAAAGUUCUUUCGACAGGGAAGAAAAUGCCUAUAAGUAACUGUGUAUGUAUUGACGGUACCUGUAUAAGCAGCCCCGGCUAACUCCGUGCCAGCAGCCGCGGUAAUACGGAGGGGGCGAGCGUUGUCCGGAGGGACUGGGCGUAAAGAGCACGUAGGCGGUGUUGUAAGUCAUUAGUCAAAGACUAGAGCUCAACUUUAGUAAGGCUAGUGAUACUAUAAUACUAGAGUAUCAGAGAGGAUUGCAGAAUUCCUGGUGUAGCGGUGAAAUGCGUAGAUAUCAGGAGGAAUACCGUUAGCGAAGGCGGCAAUCUGGCUGGAAACUGACGCUGAGGUGCGAAAGCGUGGGUAGCAAACAGGAUUAGAUACCCUUGUAGUC
rnacentral:rRNA from 1 species